GAAUGCUGACAUAAGUAACGAUAAAGCGGGUGAAAAGCCCGCUCGCCGGAAGACCAAGGGUUCCUGUCCAACGUUAAUCGGGGCAGGGUGAGUCGACCCCUAAGGCGAGGCCGAAAGGCGUAGUCGAUGGGAAACAGGUUAAUAUUCCUGUACUUGGUGUUACUGCGAAGGGGGGACGGAGAAGGCUAUGUUGGCCGGGCGACGGUUGUCCCGGUUUAAGCGUGUAGGCUGGUUUUCCAGGCAAAUCCGGAAAACCAAGGCUGAGGCGUGAUGACGAGGCACUACGGUGCUGAAGCAACAAAUGCCCUGCUUCCAGGAAAAGCCUCUAAGCAUCAGGUAACAUCAAAUCGUACCCCAAACCGACACAGGUGGUCAGGUAGAGAAUACCAAGGCGCUUGAGAGAACUCGGGUGAAGGAACUAGGCAAAAUGGUGCCGUAACUUCGGGAGAAGGCACGCUGAUAUGUAGGUGAAGCGACUAGCUCGUGGAGCUGAAAUCAGUCGAAGAUACCAGCUGGCUGCAACUGUUUAUUAAAAACACAGCACUGUGCAAACACGAAAGUGGACGUAUACGGUGUGACGCCUGCCCGGUGCCGGAAGGUUAAUUGAUGGGGUUAGCGGCAACGCGAAGCUCUUGAUCGAAGCCCCGGUAAACGGCGGCCGUAACUAUAACGGUCCUAAGGUAGCGAAAUUCCUUGUCGGGUAAGUUCCGACCUGCACGAAUGGCGUAAUGAUGGCCAGGCUGUCUCCACCCGAGACUCAGUGAAAUUGAACUCGCUGUGAAGAUGCAGUGUACCCGCGGCAAGACGGAAAGACCCCGUGAACCUUUACUAUAGCUUGACACUGAACAUUGAGCCUUGAUGUGUAGGAUAGGUGGGAGGCUUUGAAGUGUGGACGCCAGUCUGCAUGGAGCCGACCUUGAAAUACCACCCUUUAAUGUUUGAUGUUCUAACGUUGGCCCGUAAUCCGGGUUGCGGACAGUGUCUGGUGGGUAGUUUGACUGGGGCGGUCUCCUCCUAAAGAGUAACGGAGGAGCACGAAGGUUGGCUAAUCCUGGUCGGACAUCAGGAGGUUAGUGCAAUGGCAUAAGCCAGCUUGACUGCGAGCGUGACGGCGCGAGCAGGUGCGAAAGCAGGUCAUAGUGAUCCGGUGGUUCUGAAUGGAAGGGCCAUCGCUCAACGGAUAAAAGGUACUCCGGGGAUAACAGGCUGAUACCGCCCAAGAGUUCAUAUCGACGGCGGUGUUUGGCACCUCGAUGUCGGCUCAUCACAUCCUGGGGCUGAAGUAGGUCCCAAGGGUAUGGCUGUUCGCCAUUUAAAGUGGUACGCGAGCUGGGUUUAGAACGUCGUGAGACAGUUCGGUCCCUAUCUGCCGUGGGCGCUGGAGAACUGAGGGGGGCUGCUCCUAGUACGAGAGGACCGGAGUGGACGCAUCACUGGUGUUCGGGUUGUCAUGCCAAUGGCACUGCCCGGUAGCUAAAUGCGGAAGAGAUAAGUGCUGAAAGCAUCUAAGCACGAAACUUGCCCCGAGAUGAGUUCUCCCUGAGACUUAGAGUCUCCUGAAGGAACGUUGAAGACGACGACGUUGAUAGGCCGGGUGUGUAAGCGCAGCGAUGCGUUGAGCUAACCGGUACUAAUGAACCGUGAGGCUUAACCUUACAACGCCGAAG
rnacentral:rRNA from 1 species